rnacentral:rRNA from 1 species
GAUGAACGCUGGCGGCGUGCCUAAUACAUGCAAGUCGAGCGAACAGAUGAGGAGCUUGCUCCUCUGACGUUAGCGGCGGACGGGUGAGUAACACGUGGAUAACCUACCUAUAAGACUGGGAUAACUUCGGGAAACCGGAGCUAAUACCGGAUAAUAUAUUGAACCGCAUGGUUCAAUAGUGAAAGACGGUUUUGCUGUCACUUAUAGAUGGAUCCGCGCCGCAUUAGCUAGUUGGUAAGGUAACGGCUUACCAAGGCAACGAUGCGUAGCCGACCUGAGAGGGUGAUCGGCCACACGGGAACGGAGACACGGUCCAGACUCCUACGGGAGGCAGCAGUAGGGAAUCUUCCGCAAUGGGCGAAAGCCUGACGGAGCAACGCCGCGUGAGUGAUGAAGGUCUUCGGAUCGUAAAACUCUGUUAUUAGGGAAGAACAAAUGUGUAAGUAACUAUGCACGUCUUGACGGUACCUAAUCAGAAAGCCACGGCUAACUACGUG